AGUGAACGCUGGCGGUAGGCCUAACACAUGCAAGUCGAACGGCAGCACAGUAAGAGCUUGCUCUUACGGGUGUCGAGUGUCGGACGGGUGAGGAAGACAUCGGAAUCUACUUUUUCGUGGGGGAUAACGUAGGGAAACGUACGCUAAUACCGCAUACGACCUACGUGUGAAAGCAGGGGAUCUUCGGACCUUGCGCGAUUGAAUGAGCCGAUGUCGGAUUAGCUAGUUGGCGGGGUAAAGGCCCACCAAGGCGACGAUCCGUAGCUGGUCUGAGAGGAUGAUCACACACACUGGAACUGAGACACGGUCCAGACUCCUACGGGAGGCAGCAGUGGGGAAUAUUGGACAAAGGGCGCAAGCCUGAUCCAGCCAUACCGCGUGGGUGAAGAAGGACUUCGGGUUGUAAAGCCCUUUUGUUGGGAAAGAAAAGCAGCAGGUUAAUACCCCGCUGUUCUGACGGUACCCAAAGAAUAAGCACCGGCUAACUUCGUG
rnacentral:rRNA from 1 species